rnacentral:rRNA from 1 species
GAUGAACGCUGGCGGCGUGCCUAAUACAUGCAAGUCGAGCGAAUGGAUUAAGAGCUUGCUCUUAUGAAGUUAGCGGCGGACGGGUGAGUAACACGUGGGUAACCUGCCCAUAAGACUGGGAUAACUCCGGGAAACCGGGGCUAAUACCGGAUAACAUUUUGAACCGCAUGGUUCGAAAUUGAAAGGCGGCUUCGGCUGUCACUUAUGGAUGGACCCGCGUCGCAUUAGCUAGUUGGUGAGGUAACGGCUCACCAAGGCAACGAUGCGUAGCCGACCUGAGAGAGUGAUCGGCCACCCUGGGACUGAGACACGGCCCAGACUCCUACGUGAGGCAGCAGUAGGGAAUCUUCCGUGAUGGACGAAAGUCUGACGGAGCAACGCCGCGUGAGUGAUGAAGGCUUUCGGGUCGUAAACCUCUGUUGUUAGGGAAGAACAAGUGCUAGUUGAAUAAGCUGGCACCUUGACGGUACCUAACCAGAAAGCCACGGCUAACUACGUGCCAGCCGCCGCUGUAA